AAAUAAUUUUUUGAGAUUUUGUUCCUAUGCGAAAUAAAGAGCUUUAUACGAGAAGUUCACAUGGGUAACGUUACUAUCAAGAUGACACUUUCUCUUUUUUAUUCUUCUUCAACUGUGUGUGUCUGUAAAUUUGCAAAUUAGGGUUUCAUCGAUGUAUAAUGUAUUUAAAUUUACUCGCUGGUGAAAAGUUAAAACCCUUCCAUGAGAUGAAAUAUAUCCUGUAAUUACUACUCCUGUAACAAUACAGGAAAAACCCAUGUUGAAAGAGAAAGAGAGUCGCAGUUGGAGCAUACGUUUUCUGACUCAACGACAUUUACAACUCAUCGUCAAUCUCUUUACAUUUCAACCACCGAAACAAUACCUAAUUUAGGUAAACACCACAUCAGCAGCGCCACCACCACCGCCAUGACUGUGUCGAUUAUUGCCAGCCUUCCCUUUAAUAUUAGUAAGUGAUCUGCACGAGAGAAAGAUAUAGUCAGCAUCUAAGGUUUUGAGCAGUUUAGAUGAUUGGAAACGAUAUGUUUUCGCCAUUAGUAUUGGCAAGUGAAUUGCACCAGAGACACAGAGCCAGCAUCUACGAUCUAAAACAGAUGUAAAGUUUCUGAUCAGUUUAAGAUGAGUGAAAAGAAUAUAUGAAUUAAGGCAAAAACAGCAGCCGUGGCGCCACCACCACCACCAAGACCGCAUCGCCAGCCUUUCCCAUCGGGAGGCGCAGAGUCAGCAUCUAUGAGGUUCUGAUCAGUUUAGGGUGAUGGAUAGUCUCAACCUGAUUAAUUCAUGGUAUUCAACGUAUUCUUUCUUCCAUGAAUCAAGAUAUAUCAAGGGAAGAGAGAGAGACUAUAUCAGUAAGAGGCGGAAACUGCAGCUAUGUAUCACAUGAAGAAGGAUUUAUGUGAAUCAGAGGACUGUGAUCAUCUAGAACCAAUUUGAAGUUCUUGGUAUGGUCCCCCACCAUUAAAGCAUGGGCUGGCUGUUGUGUUUCCCCUCAAUUCAAAAUCUGUACCACAGGACCACUAAGCCUCUCUUGAUGAGAUGUGGAAACCACCUCUUAAAGCACUCGUCCUUUCAAAAUAUGGAUGGCAAACGCUUCAGAAGCAUGUAUGAAUGGAGAUCGCAGUAUGGGGUGCUUGUAUGUAUAUCAAGGACUUGACUUAUUAAAGAAAACAUUUAUGUGAUUUAGUUAGAGGGAUCAAGGGGAGGGUGAUGGGGACUGGGUGCAUGUGAUCAUCCCGAAGGGCUGGAACCACCUGACAAGCAAAUAUUAUAGGUUGUGAGGAUGAGACUUCCCAUACGUUUUCUGUCGUUCAACUAAAUAGGUUUGCCGUUUAAUUGGUUACCCACUAGUUUAACACACCGUCUCCAAAAUCUAAUUUGCCUUUUAUGAUUCACCCUGUUAAUGUUUGAAGUUUGCCUUUUGGAUUAAUUCCCAACUCAUUCUUUUUCUGAAAGAUUAUUAAUUCGAAUGAAUUAUCUAAGUCGUCCAGAAUGGACCACUUUAUAAGUUAUUGGACCUUGGUAUGGUCCCCCAUCAAGACAGCAUGGGCUGGCUAGUACAUAUCCCACAACUCAAAAUCUGUACUACAGGUCCACUAUGAGAUGUAGAAGCAAAACACUUUUCUGUUGUGAACAUGAAUGGCAAACUUUUCAGGUCCACCAUGCUCAAUCCAAUGAGUUGUUGAAACCCCUUCGUAAAGCAUUUGUGUAUUCCCAACAUUAUUGCUGUUACUUUGUGGUGGUGGAAGAUGUGGGCCAAAAUUUUGACAUACAUACAGGCUGGUGUAGUUCCUCUGAAAAUUUGAUGGAAGAUUCGGCAUUUUGUUUGGCAGCCAUUUAUCAGUGAUUACAAUUGGCUUUUAGUGCUUUUCUGCCAUAAUGCCUCGUGGAUACGCCCUUGCCGCCAACAAAAAGUGGGAGGAAAUUACUGCUUCUAAAAUAUCUCAACCAUGACGAGGAUUCAAGUGACGCAGCUCAACCGGGACAACAUCAGAAAUAUGCAAUUCAAAAUAUACGCAUUGACAUUUUGAAGUUCAACCAUCAUUCAAAAAGAGAAGUCAGAAGUCACAAAUUCAUGGAUAAGCUAAAGCAAGUAUAACACUAUUGCUGGUACAGCUUGGACGGAUAUGUCUUGAUAGCCUGAAAGACAAAUGGAGCCCUGCCCUCCAGAUUCGCACUCUGCAACUGAGUGAUUCUAAGUUACUGGGAUUCUCGCUCCUGCAAUUCAAGUUCUGUUUAUCUAGUUACCAAGAAGCUCGGUCGUUUGUCAUAUCUUUGUGCUGGUGAUUCUCACAUUUUCCAUUUCCUGGUUUUGUUUCUGAAUCUAAGGAUAAUCACUAGAGUCUGUUAAAAGAUGCCAAAGAGUCAUAAUUUUUUGCUGGGCUUUCAUUGUUUCUCACCUAUUGUUACGGUUUUCAGUGCAAAUCUGAUGCUAUUUAUUUGAAGAAACACACUUGGUAAAGUGAAUCACUAAUUUAUAUCAUGGAAGAUGCAACUCAUUUCAAUAAA